GCUUGGGUGGCUCAGUCGGUUGAGUGUCUGACUUCGGCUCAGGUCAUGAUCUCACAGUUCGUGGGUUCGAGCCCCACAUCAGGCU
rnacentral:tRNA from 1 species